GUUUGAUUAUGGCUCAGGAUGAACGCUAGCGGCAGGCUUAAUACAUGCAAGUCGAACGGUAAGGUCUCUUCGGAGAUACACGAGUGGCGCACGGGUGCGUAACGCGUAUGCAACCUACCUUUAACUGGGAAAUAGCCCCGAGAAAUCGGGAUUAAUGUCCCAUACUAUUCUGAGGAUACCUAUCCUUAGAAUGAAAGCUCCGGCGGUUAUUGAUGGGCAUGCGUGACAUUAGCUAGUUGGUGAGGUAACGGCUCACCAAGGCUACGAUGUCUAGGGGUCCUGAGAGGGUUAACCCCCACACUGGUACUGAGACACGGACCAGACUCCUACGGGAGGCAGCAGUAAGGAAUAUUGGGCAAUGGACGCAAGUCUGACCCAGCCAUGCCGCGUGAAGGAUGACGGUCCUAUGGAUUGUAAACUUCUUUUAUGCAGGAAAAAUAUCCCGGUCGUGAACCGGGACUGAUGGUACUGUAUGAAUAAGCAUCGGCUAACUCCGUGCCAGCAGCCGCGGUAAUACGGAGGAUGCAAGCGUUAUCCGGAUUCAUUGGGUUUAAAGGGUGCGCAGGCGGAAUGAUAAGUCAGUGGUGAAAUCUCCCGGC
rnacentral:rRNA from 1 species